rnacentral:lncRNA from 10 species
GGGGCGGGAAGCCCGCUUUCAACCCCGCGUACCCUCUGACCCCGGAAGUGCUUGCUGCGCAGGACCCCUUGAAAAAAAAUGAGGACCCGUCUUUUUUAGGUCACAAGAUUGCGCCAACCCUUACAUGGUCCUUAAAAAAAAAACCUUCUGACACUGCAGUAGUGAAAAUGAAGCGCACGAUGGGCGGAAGCUGUGAGUCCGGCAAAGUUUUAAAAUGAUGACGUAUUUUAUUAACUCUAACGGCACUGGCGGGUGACUGAAAAUACUAGUGCUGUGUAUGCGGGAUAGACAUUAUUUUCCUGCCCUACAUGAGGGGCUCGUGCGCGGAACGACAUGGGCAGCCCCGGCGGAAACUGCAGGCACAAGCCGGGACGCCGCGGGUUUAAAACAUGCGCGUGAGGUGACCAGAGCGCGUGCGCGAGGGUGUGGGGGGAUGGGAGGGGCAGCAGCCCUCUUCCGGGGGGGAGGGGCGGCGAGGCGAGGCCUGCGGAGCGGAGGAAGACAAACAUAAAGAUGAAGUGCUUAAUUCAAGGUCACACAAUGUCGGGGAUGGACCUCCAGAUUUCCUUACUGACCUGCAUUAUCUUGUGGAUACCUGAGUGAAUUCCACACCACCCAUUUUAUAGAUGAAACCACUGAGACAUGGAGCAAUUGACUGAGUAGUCACUGCCCCACCCCUGCCUGGAGCCUCACACAUGACUCGCCUCCUCUCAGUGACCACAGGUUGGUUGAGGGGUUUAACAAGGCUAAGAAGGUGAGACGUGGUCUUGUAACACAGUGGUUAAGAAUGUGACUUUGGAGCCAGCCUGCUAGGGGCUGAAUUCUGACUCAGCCAUUUACUAACUGUGUGACCUUAGGGAGGAGGACCUGGUUGAUAGAAGAAUUUAUCUCGUAGUCUUAACAUCCACUGUAAUUCCAAACUUUGAGGACGAUAGAGAUCAGUGGGCUUUGACUGCCCAGCAUGCAGUCUCCAUUCUUAGGUGGGUUCCCAAGCCUGUAAAAUGUAAGCCUUAUGCUGCUGAGGGCCAUCUUGCCACCCUGAGGGAAACGCUGCCUGAGAAUGAAACAAGCAUAAGUAAAAGCUGAGCUGUGAGAUGGAGCAAGAUGAAGGCCACAUGACAUCUUUGGAGCACCUGGAUCUAACUGUGCCUUAAGCUAGUCUAACCCUGAACAUUUCAUCAUUUCAUUGACAUGAGCCCAGGUUUUCUUUUUUUUUGGAUGGAGUCUUGCUCUGUCGCCCAGGCUGGAGUGCAGUAGCUCAAUCUCGGCUCACUGCAAGCUCCACCUCCCGGGUUCACGCCAUUCUCCUGCCUUAGCCUCCCAAGUAGCUGGGACAACAGGCGCCCACCACCACUCCCAGCUAAUUUUUUGUAUUUUUAGUAGAGACGGGGUUUUACCAUGUUAGCCGGGAUGGUCUUGAUCUCCUGACCUCAUGAUCCGCCCGCCUCGGCCUCCCAAAGUGCUGGGAUUACAGGUGUGAGCCACUGCACCCAGCCCUCAGGUUUUCCCUUUUUUUACCCCUCCUUUUGAAAAUUUGAUGUGGAAUUUUGCCACCUGCAGCCAGAAGAGUUUUAACUAAUCAGUGCCAUAAAUUUUAUAUAGUUCUCCUUGCAAAAUGUGGAUCAGCCUUUCUCAGCAAAUCCUUUGUCAUAAAGUGCUGAAUUGUAAGUUUGUCAUGAGAAUCACAUGAGAUCAUGCAUGUGAAGAACCUGGCAUUAUCCUCCUCAUAGAAAAAAACCAGUAAAUAUUAACUACAGGAAGCAAGGAAGGAGUGGGGUGAGGGGAAGAAGAAGGGGUACUGAUUUAAAAGAACCCUGGAGUCCUAAGGAUAAUCUAGGAACCCUCAGACCCAAUCCGAUACCCCUAUUCUAAAUGCUCCUAGUGCCCUGUACCUUCCCCUCAUAAGCCUUCAUUAUCAUUGUAAUGAUAUGUUUAUGUAAUAUUUUGAUUAAUGUCUCUCCUUCACUGACCUAGCAGUUCUAGCAGGGCAGUGAUUUUGCUGUGUUGCAUCCCCAGCACCUAGUCUGGUAUGUGGCAUUCAGCAUAUGUUUAUUGAAUGAAUGGCCAUGUGGUUAUUCAGAUCCUCCUUGAUUAUUGGGGUUAGGAUUGUGGCAGAAGUGGCAAAAUCAGGGAGAGUAGUCCCUGUCCCCUCUGUAUCUUAUACACUGCCCACACUCCCAACACACAUACACAUACAGAGAAUUUUGUCUCAAUUAGAUAAUUAACUUCUGCUUGGUUGUAAACCAAACCACUGGUUCUUAAACUUUCAUUGGAUCAUUUUAUUGAAGAAUUAAAUAGUGUGGUUCUGGCCUAAUGUCUGGAAAGCCUUGCAGAGGAGUGGAUUAGGUCUUUGUGAUAAACAGGCAGCCUUCCCUGCUCCUGUGUCUUUAUAAAAUCUAUUUAACUGGAGUAGUCCACCCUCCCUCAGGCUCUUACAGGAAUAUGUUGGAGGCUGUAGGAAGGUGGGAAACCGAGAGGGAAAGGACUGGGCCGCUGGAGACUUCACUCAUUCCCUAGCAAGAAACAAAAGCAGUAAAAGGUGGCCCGAGGACAACCUGAAGCUCACUCCUUCAGCACUUUUGGCUGGAGGUCACUUGUUGGAGCCCCACUCAGAGCUCAGCACACCACCCCACCAGCAGCCUCCUCCUCCCAGCUGAGGCUGCAUUUCAUCCCUUCCCCCAGCCUGCUUUCCCUGAGAUAGGGGAGUGUUUCCCAGGGCCCAUGUGACUUCCACUGGCAAGUGACGAUUACCAAUGGUUUACUAGUCAGUGAAACUACCAAAGGCUUUUGUGCUGUAGUAAUCCUUUUCCUGUUUAAAACUCUGGGGAUUUUCUAAUGUUGCCAAUAGUUUUUCAAGUCAGCAAUUACUGUGUGGAUUAUGUAAUGGCUCGGUAUUAAAAAUAGAAAAGACUGGAGUUUGCAUCUAUUUUAACCAAAUCUUGAAAACAGAGCAAAGGGAGGGGAAGGGUGGAGAGGGAGAGACCAGAGGAGGAGGGAGAAAAAGAGAUCAUGUGACUGGAUAAGACAGCUCACAAUUCACUGUGCCUUUCUCCCACCAUUUGUGGCCCAAGGACCUGUACUCCCUCCUCAGCCUCCUCUAGGGAGGGGUCCUUGAUGAGAAUUCUGAGGACACAAGACCCCUUGUGGAUAUUUCUUAGCUCAGCCUUGGUGUGCUUACCUGCUUCUGACAAGCAAAGUGGCCAAGUAGGGGAGGGAGUUGAAUCUGAUGUCCUCCACUAAGUCCAG